rnacentral:rRNA from 1 species
AGGCAGCAGUGGGGAAUCUUGCACAAUGGGCGAAAGCCUGAUGCAGCAACGCCGCGUGCGGGAAGAAGGCCCUAGGGUUGUAAACCGCUUUCAGUAGGGAAGAAAAUGACGGUACCUACAGAAGAAGGUGCGGCCAACUACGUGCCAGCAGCCGCGGUGACACGUAGGCACCAAGCGUUAUCCGGAUUUAUUGGGCGUAAAGAGCUCGUAGGCGGUUUGGUAAGUCGGGUGUGAAGACUCUGGGCUCAACCCAGAGAGGCCACUCGAUACUGCUAUGACUAGAGUACGGUAGGGGAGCGGGGAAUUCAUGGUGUAGCGGUGAAAUGCGCAGAUAUCAUGAGGAACACCAGCGGCGAAGGCGCCGCUCUGGGCCGUAACUGACGCUGAGGAGCGAAAGCAUGGGUAGCAAACAGGAUUAGAUACCCUGGUAG